UACAGAGGUCUCAAGCGUUUGUUCGGAUUCAUUGGGCGUAAAGGGUGUGUAGGUGGCGCCGUAAGUGGGGUGUGAAAUUUCGAGGCUUAACCUCGAAACUGCAUUCCAUACUGCGGUGCUUGAGGACUGGAGAGGAGACUGGAUUUACGGUGUAGCGGUGAAAUGCGCAGAUAUCAGGAGGAACACCGGUGGCGAAGGCGGGUCUCUGGGCCGAUACUGACGCUGAGGAGCGAAAGCGUGGGGAGCAAACAGG
rnacentral:rRNA from 1 species